rnacentral:rRNA from 1 species
GAAUUUUCCGCAAUGGGCGCAAGCCUGACGGAGCAACGCCGCGUGAGGGAGGAAGGCCUGUGGGUUGUAAACCUCUUUUCUCAAGGAAGAACNNNNNGACGGUACUUGAGGAAUCAGCAUCGGCUAACUCCGUNNNNGCAGCCGCGGUAAGACGGAGGAUGCAAGCGUUAUCCGGAAUUAUUGGGCGUAAAGCGUCCGUAGGUGGUUAUAAAAGUCUGUUGGAAAAGCCCACAGCUCAACUGUGGAUCGGCAAUGGAAACUGUAUGACUUGAGUGUGGUAGGGGUAGAGGGAAUUCCUAGUGUAGCGGUGAAAUGCGUAGAUAUUAGGAAGAACACCAGUGGCGAAGGCGCUCUACUGGGCCAUAACUGACACUGAUGGACGAAAGCUAGGGGAGCGAAAGGGAUUAGAUACCCCUGUAGUC